GGACACAUUUCCCAAUAUGAAGGUGGGGGAGGGAAGAUCUUUCUGGUGGGAAGAUUGCCUCAUUGAUCUAGUUAAAUGUUGAGCUCUGAUCUUAGUCAUAAUUGCUCGUAUUCUCUUCCUACCUGGCAUAUCAAUCUGUUGCGGCCAAUCCUCUGUUAUGCCUAUCGUCGGUGAAGAGCACUUACAAAAUGAAGUCCACAC
rnacentral:lncRNA from 1 species